AGCAACGCAAUAGCCUUCACAGUUAAGACGAUCUAGAGGAACAGACACAUGCGGCAUGAAAGUAGUUGUCCCACCGGGAACUCUGCAAUUGCACGAGGGACAGAAAUGAAUGUGUUGUUUUUGUUCUCCUCGAGAAUCUGCCAUCUCUGCAAACAAAUCCAUGGCAACGUUGUUCGCAGCCUCUCCUCUUCUGCUUCUUGUUGGGCGCUUGCGUUUGUCGUCUGGUUGUCGAUGAGGUGGUGGAUGCUGUGCACUCCAGAGAGAGCAGAGAGCAUGGAGUUGUACAUGUGAAGAAGCAGGAGGAGAAGAAGAGGGAGAAACUCACAAGUUUUGUUGUUGUUGUUUUUUUUGUUUUUUUGUUUUUUUUUUUUUUUUUAAAGUGUUUUUUUUUGUUUGCCUGGCCGGAGUGCUUUUGAGGUCCACCCACCUGCACUGCAAUGCACCGCACCUGGCGAGGUUGUGUUGAGAAUGGGUCCGCCUGCACUGGCACCGGAGCAGUGCUUCUGGAGGUGCGACGUGGGGCAGCACAGCGUGAUUGGAAUUCAUGGUUGCUGUGAGGCAUUGGUGAGUGGACAGUGCUUCCCUGAGUUUCUCUCAUGUAGAGGACGGAGUUGCUUCUUUGAAUUGCUCCUUGGCAGGAAGUGAGUCCUUGCGACCAAGCUCACACAUGCUCACUCGCCUUGACAGUCUCUUUCAUGAGAGAUAGUGGACGAUCAAGCUAUGCAAGCGUUAAUUGAAGAUGUCUGCAAGACUUGCGUUGACAUUGAAACUAGCUCUCAACGGAAGUUUCUGCUCCAGUUCUUUAGGGUAGAGUGGUGGUGCUUUGAAACUUUCGUUUGAAGGUGGAUGAUGAUAGAUAUCACAGCGAGUGUUGUCAAUAUGUUUUGAAUCGGAUUAGCUUGAAUCCGCAGAUAUAUAUAUAUAUAUAUAUAUAUGUAAAUGCAACAAGGGACCUGUUGACUGCAGGGAACUGGAUGUUUUUAUCAAACAGCUGUUCGGGGGUCAGAGAGAACUAGAUUACAAUGAAAGCUUGUGAGCAGAGAGAUUCUGGAAGGUUUGCAGGUUGUUUUUGAAACAUGGGUGAUGUGCUCAUGUUUCUGGCGAGGUUUUCAACUUUACGUUGGGGAUACCACUACAUCCUCUCUUUUUAUGCUGCUGGGAAGAGUCUUGAGAUUUCGAGGAUAAGCAUUUUUGAAGCGGCAACUGUUUGUGCCACAGAUUUCAUAAACCUACAAGCGUCUUUGCUUACUGAAGGGUGAACUGUGUGAUAAAAAGCUUUGUUUAGUGCGAAGUGUGACUUGAUGAGAGGCGGUUCAACUUACUCGGAAGCAUGCAGAAAUGUUACAGGAAUAACCAGUCCGCAGCUCGCCUAAAUCUGUUUAGGCAACAGUGACAUCAGUAGCGCAGCACAUCACAUUCGGGAGAACUAAUUAUGGCACUUCGAUGUUUAGAUCAGCGGAUUGAAAUGGUGGAUGAGCCAAGAAAUGAAUGCAGCUCACUUGCGUUCUGUAUAUCACUUUGUACACCAAAUCACCUCAAAUGUCAGGUACCCAUGCAGUAUACAUCCGGUACACUUCCAGUACUUUCAGUGUCAUAGCAGUAUCCUCUAAAUUGCAUCAUUCUCCAUGCUGUGGUUGUGCAACUUUUUCUGGGAGUCGGAUUCUUGAAUAGAAACACAUUCUUCAAAUACAUAGAUAUUUAUUUUGAAAUUUUUGAAACAGCCUCGUCUCUCUGGAGAUCUAAAUAGGAAAUUGAGUAAACAUGAUCUAUAAGCACAAGCUACGAGGAAGAACUCUUGGUGGCAGUUUUAUCAAUUUCGUGACAAUGAAAUAGAUUUCCGAUCUCAAGCUGCGGAAGAUUUGUUGA